rnacentral:tRNA from 1 species
UGGCCUGUAGCUCAAUGGUUGGAGCAGGUGCCUUAUACGCUCAAGGUUACCGGUUCGAAUCCGGUCAGGCCAA